GGCGGGGUAGCUCAGUUGGUCAGAGCAGCGGAAUCAUAAUCCGCGUGUCGAGGGUUCAAAUCCCCCCCCCGCUACCA
rnacentral:tRNA from 1 species